rnacentral:rRNA from 1 species
ACGGCAGCAUAGGUGCUUGCACCUGAUGGCGAGUGGCGAACGGGUGAGUAAUGCAUCGGAACGUGCCCAAUCGUGGGGGAUAACGCAGCGAAAGCUGUGCUAAUACCGCAUACGAUCUACGGAUGAAAGCGGGGGACCUUCGGGCCUCGCGCGAUUGGAGCGGCCGAUGUUAGAUUAGGUAGUUGGUGGGGUAAAGGCUCACCAAGCCGACGAUCUAUAGCUGGUCUGAGAGGACGACCAGCCACACUGGAACUGAGACACGGUCCAGACUCCUACGGGAGGCAGCAGUGGGGAAUUUUGGACAAUGGGCGAAAGCCUGAUCCAGCAAUACCGCGUGCAGGAAGAAGGCCUUCGGGUUGUAAACUGCUUUUGUACGGAACGAAAAGGUCUGCCUUAAUACGGUGGGCUCAUGACGGUACCGUAAGAAUAAGCACCGGCUAACUACGUGCCAGCAGCCGCGGUAAUACGUAGGGUGCGAGCGUUAAUCGGAAUUACUGGGCGUAAAGCGUGCGCAGGCGGCUUUGUAAGACAGACGUGAAAUCCCCGGGCUCAACCUGGGAAUUGCGUUUGUGACUGCAAGGCUAGAGUACGGUAGAGGGGGGUAGAAUUCCGCGUGUAGCAGUGAAAUGCGUAGAUAUGCGGAGGA